rnacentral:rRNA from 1 species
UACAGAGGUGGCAAGCGUUGUUCGGAAUUACUGGGCGUAAAGGGCGCGUAGGCGGCCAUGCGUGUCUUCCGUGAAAUCCCUCGGCUUAACUGAGGACGUGCGGAAGAAACUGCAAGGCUCGAGUCCGGGAGAGGGGGGUGGAAUUCCCAGUGUAGCGGUGAAAUGCGUAGAUAUUGGGAGGAACACCGGUGGCGAAGGCGGCCCCCUGGACCGGUACUGACGCUGAGGCGCGAAAGCGUGGGUAGCAAACGGG